UUUGAGAAUUACAUAAAUAUUGGAAAUUGGAAAAGUUGCUGCUUAAGUUUUUAUAAUAGCAAUUUGCAUAUACUCCAGAAUGUUAUGAAGAGUGAUCAGAUGAAUUGCAUAGUCCUUCUUUGUCAUGAAAAUUAACUUUAUCCCAAAAAAAUCAUUUCAACUGACAUUUCAUUGCUCUCAUUAA